rnacentral:lncRNA from 1 species
UUUUUAGAAAAAUAAGUUAUUUACUCCACGAAUUACGGGUAAGAUGUUGGGUUCUCAGAUAUAUAGGCAUUUUACACUAUAACUUACCGGUAAGAUAUGAUGUUUUUAGAAAAACAGACUAUUUACUAAAUAAAAUAGGGAUAAAAUGUUGUGUUCUCAGAUAUAUAGCCAUUUUAUAAUAUAACUUACCAUUAAGAUAC